rnacentral:rRNA from 1 species
GAUUCUGGCUCAGGAUGAACGCUAGCGACAGGCUUAACACAUGCAAGUCGAGGGGCAGCACGGGAGUAGCAAUACUUGGUGGCGACCGGCGCACGGGUGAGUAACGCGUAUGCAACCUACCUAUCAGAGGGGAAUAACCCGGCGAAAGUCGGACUAAUACCGCAUAAAACAGGGGCACCGCAUGGUGAUAUUUGUUAAAGAAAUUCGCUGAUAGAUGGGCAUGCGUUCCAUUAGGUAGUUGGUGAGGUAACGGCUCACCAAGCCGACGAUGGAUAGGGGAACUGAGAGGUUGGUCCCCCACACUGGUACUGAGACACGGACCAGACUCCUACGGGAGGCAGCAGUGAGGAAUAUUGGUCAAUGGGCGGGAGCCUGAACCAGCCAAGUCGCGUGGAAAAGGAAGAAGGAUCUAUGGUUACGUAAACUUCUUUUGCAGGGGAAUAAAGUGCAGGACGUGUCCUGUUUUGUAUGUACCCUGAGAAUAAGGAUCGGCUAACUCCGUGCCAGCAGCAGC